AUCAUCUGCUUCUGGACCUCAGUUGACUGUGGGUUUCUCUGAAACCACAGAAAGCAAAACGACAGAAAAGAUCCUCCAGAAUUUCCAAACAGCGAGGUAUGGGUAUAGAAGAGGAAAAAAAGGAGCCAUUGAUGAUUCUUUAUAAUGUUUACCUGAGCAAUUAGAGUUGCCAUUAACUCAGAUGUCAAUGGAACAAUUGUAGAGGGAAGAUGAGUCAGGUGUGAACAGGUAAUGUCUGAGGUGUCUAUUCAAUGAAGAUGGAAGUGGAAGACUUGGAUGCAUGAAUCUAGAGUACCAGGAGAAGUCUCGGUUAGUGAUACAAACAUAGGAGUUGCCAGAUUUUACAUGAUAUUGAAAGUCCUGAGACUGGAUAAGAUCACCAAGGAAGUGAAUGUAGACAGAGGAAAAAAAAGGAUCAAGAACUGUGUCCUGGAAUAAUCCAACAUGCAGAAAUCAGAAAAAAAAAAAAAAAAAAAAAA